rnacentral:rRNA from 1 species
AUUGAACGCUGGCGGCAUGCCUUACACAUGCAAGUCGAACGGCAGCACGGGAGCAAUCCUGGUGGCGAGUGGCGAACGGGUGAGUAAAGUAUCGGAACGUGCCCAGUCGUGGGGGAUAACGUAGCGAAAGUUACGCUAAUACCGCAUACGAUCUAUGGAUGAAAGCGGGGGAUCGCAAGACCUCGCGCGAUUGGAGCGGCCGAUAUCAGAUUAGGUAGUUGGUGGGGUAAAGGCUCACCAAGCCGACGAUCUGUAGCUGGUCUGAGAGGACGACCAGCCACACUGGGACUGAGACACGGCCCAGACUCCUACGGGAGGCAGCAGUGGGGAAUUUUGGACAAUGGGCGAAAGCCUGAUCCAGCCAUGCCGCGUGCAGGAUGAAGGCCUUCGGGUUGUAAACUGCUUUUGUACGGAACGAAAAGGUUUGGCCUAAUAAGCUGAGCUCAUGACGGUACCGUAAGAAUUAGCACCGGCUAACUACAUGCCAGCAGCCGCCGCGG